rnacentral:rRNA from 1 species
UACGAAGGGGGCUAGCGUUGUUCGGAAUUACUGGGCGUAAAGCGCACGUAGGCGGAUAUUUAAGUCAGGGGUGAAAUCCCGGGGCUCAACCCCGGAACUGCCUCUGAUACUGGGUAUCUUGAGUUCGGAAGAGGUGAGUGGAAUUGCGAGUGUAGAGGUGAAAUUCGUAGAUAUUCGCAGGAACACCAGUGGCGAAGGCGGCUCACUGGUCCGAUACUGACGCUGAGGUGCGAAAGCGUGGGGAGCAAACAGGAUUAGAAACCCCCGUAGUCC